CCUACGGGUGGCAGCAGUGAGGAAUAUUGGUCAAUGGGCGCGAGCCUGAACCAGCCAAGUAGCGUGAAGGAUGACUGCCCUACGGGUUGUAAACUUCUUUUAUAAAGGAAUAAAGUGAGGCACGUGUGCCUUUUUGUAUGUACUUUAUGAAUAAGGAUCGGCUAACUCCGUGCCAGCAGCCGCGGUAAUACGGAGGGUGCGAGCGUUAAUCGGAAUUAUUGGGUGUAAAGCGCUCGUAGGCGGGAUGUCAAGUCAAGGGUGAAAUCCCCGGGCUCAACGUGGGAACUGCCUUUGAAACUGGCGAACUGGAGUGUGUGAGAGGAAGGUGGAAUUCCAGGUGUAGGAGUGAAAUCCGUAGAUAUCAGGAGGAACAUCAGUGGCGAAGGCGACUAGCUGGAACGUGACUGACGCUGAGGAGCGAAAGCGUGGGUAGCAAACAGGAUUAGAUACCCGUGUAGUC
rnacentral:rRNA from 1 species